AAAAGGAGUUCCGGAGCAUC
rnacentral:miRNA from 1 species